UACGAAGGGUGCAAGCGUUACUCGGAAUUACUGGGCGUAAAGCGUGCGUAGGUGGUCUGUUAAGUCUGAUGUGAAAGCCCUGGGCUCAACCUGGGAAUUGCAUUGGAUACUGGCAGGCUAGAGUGCGGUAGAGGGUAGUGGAAUUCCCGGUGUAGCAGUGAAAUGCGUAGAGAUCGGGAGGAACACCGGUGGCGAAGGCGGCAUCCUGGACCGGCAUUGACGCUGAGGCGCGAAAGCCAGGGGAGCAAACGGG
rnacentral:rRNA from 1 species